rnacentral:lncRNA from 1 species
CCACUGUUGUAGAUGUGCGGGUGUGCUAUCAGUGUUGAUUAUUCUUGGCUGGUGAUAGUGGUUCAGUUGCAUUGGGAACACACAACCACUCUAUUAGCAAAGAGUUACUUCAGGAUAAGGAUGGGGUUGGACCUAAUAACUGUUAGGUGAGAGACCUAAUGAUGACCUUACACCUACUUGUAAAUGAUGGGUCGGACUUAACUAAGAAG